rnacentral:misc_RNA from 1 species
GAAAUGCGAUAAGUAAUGUGAAUUGCAGAAUUCAGUGAAUCAUCGAAUCUUUGAACGCACAUUGCGCCCGCCAGCACUCUGGCGGGCAUGCCUGUUCGAGCGUCAUUUCAACCCUCAGAACCCCUUGCGGGAUCUGGCGUUGGGGAUUGGCAUCCAGCCAGCCCCGAAAUCUAGUGGCGGUCCCUCCGCGACCUCCCCUGUGCAGUAGCGAUACCUCGCAGCGGGACAGCGGUCUGACCACGCCGUAAAACCCCCAACUUCUCAAGGUUGACCUCGAAUCAGGUAGGAAUACCCGCUUAACUUAAGA